GAGCGAUCAGCUUAUGGAGAUCAACGGGGACAGUACAGCUGGAAUGACACACAGCCAGGCCGUGGAGCAGAUACGCAGAGGAGGCAACCGCAUCCACCUCGUCCUCAAGAGAGGAAACGGCUAUGUGCCCGACUAUGUGGAGCUUUCCAGUUUAUCUCUGUGUAUGACCAACUCCAAGCUAGGCGAGCCUUGCUUCUAUGUCAUUGGACGGACCGAGAAUACGCGGCCAUGAGCAAAGAAUCACCUCCCCCUCCCUCCCGCAUCACGCCAAGGAGCAGGGUUUGGCUGCAGUAGACUCCGCUGGAAGGAGGGGGCGCAGUUCCGAGCAAAAGAGGCGAAGCAGGUCAAACGAGAGAGCGAUAGAGACUGAGAAGAGAAGAAGGAGAAGAGGAAGAUUGGGAUCAGGGGGAGGCGAGCGUCAAGGUUUACAAAGCCCCAUCUCUGAGCAGAGAGAGAAAUCUCAAGAAGACAGGAGGAGGAGGCGGAGGACAAGAGAAUCUCAGAGUUUACCCAGAGAUGCCCUCAGGAAACAUGAUGAGAGCGAC
rnacentral:lncRNA from 1 species